CAGCUGUAUAUCCCCUUACCAGCUUAGCAACAUGGACAGUAGCAAGAGUUUCAGAGUGGUUCUGUGACUGGCAUCUGCCCUUCUCCCUACUGCUUGUCUGAAAUGACGCCAGUCUCGGGAUUUAAGCUCAUUUAACCCUUGAACUCAAAGAGAUGAUCCAUUGUAUGCCUCAAGCAUGGCAGAUGGCCCCUGCACUCCCAUAUCCAGUGUGAACCCUGACCUCCUGCUGACCUCUGACCCCUGUGAUAGAACAUGACUCAAGAUUUUUCCCUCUCAUUUAAGGAUUUCUGCUUUCAAACAUUUCAGAGCCAAAUGUAGCAGUCCUAAUACUCCGUGCUAAAUGUGUUUGUAUGUAGAUGUGGGUCAAAAUGAGAUUGCAGUGUGAUAAAUGUAGGACACAUUAUUUCAUUUGAGCUG